rnacentral:rRNA from 1 species
UACGGAGGAUGCGAGCGUUAUCCGGAUUUAUUGGGUUUAAAGGGUGCGCAGGCGGAGGUGCAAGUCAGUGGUCAAAUUGCGGGGCUCAACCCCGGCCUGCCGUUGAAACUGGCGGCCUCGAGUGGGCGAGAAGUAUGCGGAAUGCGUGGUGUAGCGGUGAAAUGCAUAGAUAUCACGCAGAACUCCGAUUGCGAAGGCAGCAUACCGGCGCCCAACUGACGCUGAGGCACGAAAGCGUGGGUAUCGAACAGG